CGCAGCCUCCAGGGUGUCCAGGGAUUAAUUCUGUGAUGGAGCUCGCUUUUCUGGAUUUCAAGGUAAAUCGUUACUUCACGGAUUGUGAACUGUCUCUGCAGCAAAAGCUUUCCCCUGACAACCUGACAGCCAAUUGGAGGCCUUCAACACAGACAGCGGGAUAGGAAUCUGCAAGAAAUGGAAGAGAAGGAUCCAGAAGACAUCAGUUUCCAAGCCACAAGCUCCUUCUACCUUGCCAACUAAACAGUCAGCUGCCAUCCCAGAAGUUGGCGUUCCACCAUGAGGAAAUAUUUAAAAACAGAUGCUCUUUGGAACAGGGACAACUGGUGCACUGGUGAAAGGAUCAUGAGUGCCCAAGGUUCAUUGAUUCAUGUGGGGAGUGAAGGAUAGCCUGUCUGGUCUGAUCCCACAGAAGAGCUACUAUAGCACAGACUGCAGAAAAACUUAAUGAUGGCUGUGACAUAAAGGUGUCAGAACACACAGUGUAUUACAACUAGCUGCGUAUGGGGUUGCACUGCCACAGACUGGUCAGUGAGCUCAUGCUGACCCCUGUCAACCACCGAAAGUGUCUACAAUGAGUAUCAGAACUGGACCAAGGAGCAAUGGAAUAAGGUUGACUGGUCUGAUGAAUCAUGUUUUCUUUAAGAUCAUGUGGAUGACCAGGUGUGUGUGUGUCGUUUACCUGAGGAAGAGACACAUUACGGAAAGAAGGCAAUGCAGCAGAUGCAGUGUGAUGCUCUUGCAAAAGUUCUGCUGGGAAACAUGGGUCCUGGCAUUCAUGUCAGUCUUACUCUGACAUGUACCACUUACCUAAAGACUGUUGCAGAGCAUGUAAACUCCUUCAUGGCAAUGGUACUACCUGAAGACAGUGGGCUAUUUCAGCAAGGUAAUGUGCCCUGACACACUGUGAAAACUGUUUAGGAAUGGUUUAAAGAAUAUGACACUAAGUUUAAGGUGAUGACUUGGCCUCCAAAUUCUGUAGAACUUAAUCUGAUCGAACAUCUGUGAACGUUCUGGGAAAUCAAGUCCGAUCAAUGGAGACCUUUCCUUUCAACUUACAAGACUUAAAGGAUCUACUGCUAACGUUUAGUGCCAGAUACCACAGGACAUCCUCAGAGGUCUUGUGGAGUCAGAACUGUCUUGGUGGCAUGAGGGGGACCUACACAAUAUUAGG